rnacentral:rRNA from 1 species
CCUACGGGAGGCAGCAGUGGGGGAUAUUGCACAAUGGAGGGAACUCUGAUGCAGCGACGCCGCGUGAGUGAAGAAGGUUUUCGGAUUGUAAACUUCUUUCUUCGGUGACGAAACAAGACGGUAGCCGAGGAGGAAGCCACGGAUAAAUACGUGUCAGCAGCCGCGGUAAUACGGGGGUGGCACGCGUUGUCCGGAAUUACUGGGUGAAAAGGGAGCGUAGGCGGGAAAGCAAGAUGAAUGUUUAAGGUACGGGCUCAACCUGUACAAGCGUUCAAAACUGUUUUUCUUGAGUGGAGUAGAGGUAAGCGGAAUUCCUAGUGUAGCGGUGAAAUGCGUAAAUAUUAGGAGGAACACCAGUGGCGAAGGCGGCUUACUGGGCUUUAACUGACGCUGAGGCUCGAAAGCGUGGGUAGCAAACAGGAUUAGAUACCCGUGUAGUC